rnacentral:rRNA from 1 species
GAUGAACGCUGGCGGCGUGCCUAACACAUGCAAGUCGAACGGAGUCCAGCCUUUAAGACCUUCGGGUCAAAGAGGGGAAGACUGAGUGGCGGACGGGUGAGUAACACGUGGGCAACCUGGCUCAUAGAGGGGGAUAACAGAGAGAAAUUUCUGCUAAUACCGCAUAAGCACACACUGCCGCAUGGCAGAGGGUGAAAAGAGAAUCGCUAUGAGAUGGACCCGCGUCUGAUUAGCCAGUUGGCAGGGUAAGAGCCUACCAAAGCGACGAUCAGUAGCCGAUCUGAGAGGAUGAACGGCCACAUUGGGACUGAGACACGGCCCAAACUCCUACGGGAGGCAGCAGUGGGGGAUAUUGCACAAUGGGGGGAACCCUGAUGCAGCGACGCCGCGUGAGUGAGGAAGUAUUUCGGUAUGUAAAGCUCUAUCAGCAGGGAAGAUAAUGACAGUACCUGAAUAAGAAGCCCCGGCUAACUACGUG